rnacentral:tRNA from 1 species
GCUCCUGUAGCUCAGCUUGGAUAGAAGACGAAGAUGAAGAAUCUUCUGUCUAUUAUGCACCUGCCUCCUAAGCAGGGGGUCGCGCGUUCGAAUCGCGCCGGGAGCG